rnacentral:rRNA from 1 species
AGUGAACGCUGGCGGCGUGCUUAACACAUGCAAGUCGAACGAGAACGGGCUAUAGCUUGCUAUAGUUGUCAGCUAAGUGGCGCACGGGUGAGUAAUGUAUAGGUAAUAUGCCUCUUACUAAGGGAUAACAAAUGGAAACGUUUGCUAAUACCUUAUACUCCUUUUAAACAGAAGUUUAAAAGGGAAAGAUUGAUUGGUAAGAGAUUAGCUUGUAUUGUAUCAGUUAGUUGGUGGGGUAAUGGCUUACCAAGACUAUGACACAUAACUGGUUUGAGAGGAUGAUCAGUCACACUGGAACUGAGACACGGUCCAGACUCCUACGGGAGGCAGCAGUGGGGAAUAUUGCACAAUGGACGAAAGUCUGAUGCAGCAACGCCGCGUGGAGGAUGACACAUUUCGGUGCGUAAACUCCUUUUAUAUGAGAAGAUAAUGACGGUAUUAUAUGAAUAAGCACCGGCUAACUCCGUGCCAGCCGCCGCGGUAAUAC